AAUAUCGCAAGUUGGCACGGCGCCUGCUUGGACUUUCCCGACAAUCGACAACACAGCGCCGACCUCAACGACGAGGCUGCGCUUCCCGACCGAACGGGACCUGGACAAAGGCGUCCUGCUGGCAACAGCGGGACGCC
rnacentral:sRNA from 15 species